UACGUAGGCAGCGAGCGUUGUUCGGAGUUACUGGGCGUAAAGGGUGUGUAGGCGGUUGUUUAAGUUUGGUGUGAAAUCUCCCGGCUCAACUGGGAGGGUGCGCCGAAUACUGAAUGACUUGGAGUGCGGGAGAGGAAAGUGGAAUUCCUGGUGUAGCGGUGAAAUGCGUAGAUAUCAGGAGGAACCCCGGUGGUGUAGACGGCUUUCUGGACCGUAACUGACGCUGAGACACGAAAGCGUGGGUAGCAAACAGG
rnacentral:rRNA from 1 species